GAUCUGGCUCAGGAUGAACGCUGGCGGCGUGCUUAACACAUGCAAGUCGAACGAGAAAUGAAGACGGAAACCUUCGGGCGGAAGCCUUCAUUUCGAGUGGCGGACGGGUGAGUAACGCGUGGGUAACCUGCCUCAUACAGGGGGAUAACAGUUGGAAACGACUGUUAAUACCGCAUAAGACCACAGCACCGCAUGGUGCGGGGGUAAAAACUCCGGUGGUAUGAGAUGGACCCGCGUUCGAUUAGCCAGUUGGCGGGGUAACGG
rnacentral:rRNA from 1 species